rnacentral:tRNA from 1 species
GGUCAGGUAGCUCAGAUGGUAGAGCAGCGGACUGAAAAUCCGCGUGUCGGCGGUUCGAUCCCGCCCCUGACCACCA